CCAGGCCUUGGUCGUCAAGAAGAGACUGGAAUGCAAACCGAGAAUGAAAAGGCCCACUUUGCUCAGAGACACAGACCUGGCAUCACCACCGCCAGGGACUGGCAGCAGAGAGAGUGGGAGGAGAAAGGCCUACAGAUGAAAGGGUAUUGUCAGUCACGUUGUCACUGAUGAAAGAAAUAUGGCAAAACAUCAGCGGAGUCCAGAUGGCCGGGCGGCCUCUGUUGCAACUACUCGAUGUCAUGGCAGCCUCCAAACCCCGGGAGACGAUAUGCAAACAAAUGGGUGUGACCGUGUCCCAGUAAAAGGGCAGUAGGACAGACUCAACUUGUAGGCUGUGGUUUGCCAACCUCGGAUGUGCAACAGAACUUUCUGCAAUGAUGGAAAUGUUCUCUGUGUGGUCCGGAUCAAGUCAAUAGCCACAUCGUGGCUACUGGGUGCUUGAAAUGUGAAUCUACUGAAGUAAUUUCUACACCCAACGUGGGGCUCAAAGUCACCACCCUGAGAUCAAGAGUCGCACGCUCCUCGGCCUGAGCCAGCCAGGCGCCCCCAGGAACUUAUUUCUUAAGUUACCUAAGUAGUCCGGACGACGAAGGAAAGUUCCACUUUAUAGAAGAAUGCCAGCUAAUGGGUGUGAACACAAAGACAGGAGGAGAAAGCCAUCAUUUUGAAACUCCUAAUGAACUUACAGACUUACAGGAGAAUUAAAAAUGACGUUAAAGCCAUUAGGUGAAAGAUGGGUGAAGGACUGGACAUCCGCAGAGUGUGAAAAGAACACGACUCGGGUAACUUUCCACC